rnacentral:rRNA from 1 species
GACGAACGCUGGCGGCGUGCCUAAUACAUGCAAGUAGGACGCAGUUGCGAACGGGUGAGUAACGCGUAGGUAACUACCUAUUAGAGGGGGAUAACUAUUGGAAACGAUAGCUAAUACCGCAUACUAGUAGAUGGACCUGCGUUGUAUUAGCUAGUAGGUAGGGUAAUGGCCUACCGAGGCAACGAUACAUAGCCGAGAUUGGAUGGUGUAGGGCCAAACUGGGACUUGGACACGGCCCCGACUUCGACGGGAGGCAGCAGGAGGGAAUCUUCGGCAAUGGGGGGAACCCUGACCGAGCAACGCCGCGUGAGUGAAGAAGGUUUUCGGAUCGUAAAGCUCUGUUGUUAAGGAAGCGGUACUUAACCAGAAAGGGACGGCUAACUACGUGCCAGCAGCCGCGGUAAUAC